ACCUCAGAGACACUCAGACCUGGAUUAGAAUUCUCUCUGCCACUCACUAGCUGUGUGACCUCAGAAAAAAGAUUGAGUUGCAUCUAACAAGUGUGGACAAAGAAGGGGAGGAAGAGACUGAACAUGUACGAAUAGAACCUGCCGACUGCAUUUCUUGUCAUUCCCCAUUUUCCACCCCAGAGUGGCAUCUUCCUGAAGACAUUUCAAAGCACAAAUUUUAUGUAUAAGGAGAAUAAAUGAAUACAAUGUAUUCCCCACCCUUUUCUCUCUGUGGCUUCCAUCUCUAUUGUCUAACUUAAUGUCUUACUUGGUGCUCAGUAACUUUUUAAGUGAACAUGUGAAUUAAUGAGCCAUUUAGAAAUAAAAAAAAAAGGAAUUGAAGGAAGAGCACUUUUCAAAAUUUAAGCUUCCCAAAGCAGCAGAUUUAGGCUGUUAUUCUGAUGAGAAAUUAUUU
rnacentral:lncRNA from 1 species